UCUCCCCUCCUCCCCCUCCCCUCUCCCUCCUCCCUCCCCCCAAAAAUAUCAUGAGUCAGCGUGUGUUAUCUUGUAAUGUAGGUGUAUCUAAAAUUGUAAUUGGACAAUGUAUCACUUUAACACUCUCCUACAGACAUUAAGUAUGUAUUGGUAUGAAUGAUGAAGAUGGAAGUUGUGUGUGACAAUAAUAAUCAUUCUCAUUGGUUCAGGUUGGUUAGUGACAUCUUUGUUUUACAUGCACAGAAUUGGACUUGAUCUACAAGAAAUGAAAGUCCCGUUUCAUACUUUGUGGGAAUUCAUAUUUAUUAUUGAAAUUAUGCAUAUUUGUUUUUAAUUAGGUUUAACGAUUGAAUGUUUGCAGUGUGAAAGAGAAUUCCAUCAUUUUCUACAAAAUUGGCAACUUUGUAAUAAAGUACAUAUUCAACUCAUUUUAUACCUUCAA